GAUGAAGAACGCAGCGAAAUGCGAUAAGUAGUGUGAAUUGCAGGAUUCAGUGAAUCAUCGAAUCUUUGAACGCACAUUGCGCCCCUUGGUAUCCCGAGGGGCAUGCCUGUUCGAGCGUCAUUUCACCACUCAAGCCUGGCUUGGUGUUGGGCGACGUCCUCUUUGGGGACGCGCCUCGAAACGCUCGGCGGCGUGGCACCGGCUUUAAGCGUAGCAGAAUCUUUCGCUUUGGAAGUCGGGGCCCCGUCUGCCGGAAGACCUGCUCGCAAGGUUGACCUCGGAUCAGGCAGGGAUACCCGCUGAACUUAAGCAUAUCAAUAAGCGGAGGA
rnacentral:misc_RNA from 1 species